AUUGAACGCUGGCGGCAGGCCUAACACAUGCAAGUCGAACGAGUGGCGGACGGGUGAGUAAUGUCUGGUAAACUGCCUGAUGGAGGGGGAUAACUACUGGAAACGGUCGCUAAUACCGCAUACCAUCAGAUUUGCCCAGAUGGGAUUAGCUAGUUGGUGGGUUAACGGCUCACAAGGGCGACGAUCCCUAGCGGGUCUGAGAGGAUGACCGGCCACACUGGAACUGAGAAACGGUCCAGAUUCCUACGGGAGGCAGCAGUGGGGAAUAUUGCACAAUGGGGGAAAGCCGGAUGCAGCAAUGCCGCGUGGAUGAAGAAGGCCUUCGGGUGGUAAAGUACUUUCAGCGGGGAGGCGUUACCCGAAGAAGAAGCACCGGCUAACUCCGUGCCAGCAGCCGCGGUAAUAC
rnacentral:rRNA from 1 species